GAGGGUGAUCGGCCACACUGGAACUGAGACACGGUCCAGACUCCUACGGGAGGCAGCAGUAGGGAAUCUUCCGCAAUGGGCGAAAGCCUGACGGAGCAACGCCGCGUGAGUGAUGAAGGUCUUCGGAUCGUAAAACUCUGUUAUCAGGGAAGAACAAAUGUGUAAGUAACUGUGCACAUCUUGACGGUACCUGAUCAGAAAGCCACGGCUAACUACGUGCCAGCAGCCGCGGUAAUACGUAGGUGGCAAGCGUUAUCCGGAAUUAUUGGGCGUAAAGCGCGCGUAGGCGGUUUUUUAAGUCUGAUGUGAAAGCCCACGGCUCAACCGUGGAGGGUCAUUGGAAACUGGAAAACUUGAGUGCAGAAGAGGAAAGUGGAAUUCCAUGUGUAGCGGUGAAAUGCGCAGAGAUAUGGAGGAACACCAGUGGCGAAGGCGACUUUCUGGUCUGUAACUGACGCUGAUGUGCGAAAGCGUGGGGAUCAAACAGGAUUAGAUACCCUGGUAGUCCACGCCGUAAA
rnacentral:rRNA from 1 species